GGGAUUAUUUCUCGCGAAGAAAAAUGAAAAGGAGAAUAUAAGGAUAUAAGGACAAUCAGACACGAAGAUCGAUAGCUUUUAGGAAGACAUAUAUUUGGGACAUGUACUCAAGAUCUAACCGAGCCAACACAUCUCUCACCGGCACAUUCUUCUUGAAUGGCGUUAACGUUCCCUGUGGAACUUUUGCCGUCUCAACGUAUUCAUUAACUAGCGUCGUUCAUUAAUACUUGGUUGAGAUUUCUAUGCCGAAUAACACGCCUUGAAUGUACUCUAAAGUGGCAAGCUCUAGAAUACGCGUGACCACAGUGCAAGCCGGAAGAAUUUUCUUUGACGAAAAAUCCCCCAACCAGAACGGGAAUCGAACCCGAACACCCGGCAUGAUAGUGUGGGACGCUAACCACUCGGCCACGGGUGCACAUAAAAACUCCGGCACAUUGGGCUGCCUUUUUCUAGCCCGAAGAGAGUUUUCUAAAUUCGAUCUGGCAACAAGAUACUUCUCGCAUGACCAAACAACGUGUUCGGUGUCGUGGUAACCUUGGCCACAAACGCAGAGAUUGCUGCUGACAAGAUUGAAACGGAAGAGUAGUGCAUCUAACGAACAGCGAUUUGACAUGAAUCGGGAGAAGGUGCGAAUAAAGUCCCGACUCAAUUCCAGACUUUUGAACCACGGUUUGUCGCCUUCAAUCGCACCCACCUUUGUUAAUGAGUCAGCCCUCUCAUUAUCCGGAAUCGAGCAAUGUGAAGCAACCCAGACAAAGAAAUCGAGCAAUUCGAUAGCACCGAGCGAGUGAUAACUAUCGAUGCAAGUGUCAGACCUUUUCGAGUUGUUUGGUUCACUUGUUGCAUAUCUUCAGAGAAUUAUUUUGUGUUGGCUUGAAUCCCUUUGGGAAACAUUUCAGAAACGCUUCAAUAUAUGCAAUUUGCAACACAUGUUCGUUUGUUUUGAUCAGCAUUUGUUUUACGGUGCUGCCAGAAUAGUCUAUAAAAGCGCAUAUUUCAGUGGCGGAAGAAAAAAACCAAAUCACCACCAGUUUGAACGGCUCCUUAAACAAUGGAAGCGAGAUUGCUCGAGGUUCUUGUGGAGGUAGUCGUCAUAUAUUCCCGGUGUAGGAAAAGUUGGAGGAAUUCAGAGAGGAACUUAAUGCACUGAGACCACCUAGGUUCAGAAUGGCAGAAAGUUUGGAUUGGCAUGAGGGGAAAAGUAAAGAAAACACUAGCACGCAACAAGCGAGAAUUUAGAGCAACAGGUGGUUGCCCCAAUACAAUAAAGCUAUCGACGCCGCUACAACAAGAAAUCGACGCUAAAACAGAAUCACAUGAAUAACAAAAAUUGUUUUGCUAAAAAAAAGUGAUAUUCGUGCAUGACUCUUUACGGAAUUCCAUAGAUUUCCUAAUAAUUAUAUUUUUUAUAC